rnacentral:rRNA from 1 species
GAUGAACGCUAGCGACAGGCUUAACACAUGCAAGUCGAGGGGCAGCGAGGGCGUAGCAAUACGCCUGUCGGCGACCGGCGCACUGGUGAGUAACACGUAUGCGACCUGCCCCCUACAGGGGUAUAACCCGUAGAAAUGCGGACUAAUCCCCCAUAGUCCUGAGUGCUGCAUGGCAUUCAGGGGAAAGGUCAGCCGGUAGGGAUGGGCAUGCGGCGCAUUAGCUAGUUGGCGGGGCAACGGCCCACCAAGGCGACGAUGCGUAGGGGUUCUGAGAGGAAGGUCCCCCACACUGGUACUGAGACACGGACCAGACUCCUACGGGAGGCAGCAGUGAGGAAUAUUGGUCAAUGGGCGUAAGCCUGAACCAGCCAAGUAGCGUGAGGGAAGACUGCCCUACGGGUUGUAAAACCUCUUUUGUUUGGGAAUAAAGUGCGGGACGUGUCCCGCAUUGCAUGUACCAUUUGAAUAAGGACCGGCUAAUUCCGUG